rnacentral:lncRNA from 1 species
GAAGAACAGGGGAGCUUGGGGAGGCCAGAGGUUACAUAGCCAGGCUUAGCAUCACAGAACGUUGCUAGAAGCCUGGGCUCCUGAUUCCCAGGCAAAUGGUCUCUGCUCAGCCCAGAGCAAGACCCAGAGAUAAUAACACCAGGCCAGGUACAUAUUGACUGUAGACAGAGUCAUCGACAAGAACCACAAAGGAGACAAGAGCUGAGGAGGAAGCCUCACCAGGCAGGUGACCUCAGAUCCUCGCUGUAAUGAGAAGUUGGCUGAGUUAGGAUGAUCACCGUCUCCGUAGCAGUUAGCCAGCUGUGGAGACUCAGUCCCUAGCUUGUGCCUCACUCAGGCACAAGGGAGAGUGACAAUCCAGACAACUAAUGGGAAGGGAGAGCACACAGGGACUGCAAAGGAGAAAACACAGCAUUCGUAUGUCAAGGUUCCUUCAAGAGUCCAUAGACCCUCCCCAGCUUGCUCACAUGAAGCCAACCAUGAUCUCCACCCUGGGCACACCCCUCCUACGCCUCCUCCUCCAACAAGCCUCCACCUGCAAGGCAAACACACUCAGAGUUCACCCGCCACACGUACCUUCCCAUGCAAACCCAACAAAAUUGAUGGCAGAAACUGUGGGAAAGAGGCAGGAAGAGAGACUGUGGUUAGCAAGGUGGGUUCAGAGGCGUGGGCUUCUUCAUCGCUACGAUCCAAUAACAACACAAAAGAAAAACACAGCCUGAACUUGAAGCUGAGCAGUUCAGGAGGAAGAUCAAGGGUUAGAAGCGAAGGUAGAACCAACUUAUUCUCAAGAUGUGUUUGAAAGCACAACCAUGCCCUGCAUCAAACAAUGCUUCAGACCCAGGUGGCAGCUCUCACUCCCCCUCUGGGCUUAGCUGCUCCAGAAACCAGUGCUUCGGAGGAAUAUUUUGGGAGCCCCCGAUUUGUCCCAGCUGUCUCUUAUGGGCUCAGGGAUGGACAUUUCGUGCGGCAUUCUCUGAUGUAUGUCUCUGUGUCUUAACUUUCCCCUUUGCCAUAUCAAUCAUAUCUGAUUAGGGCAUAGUCUCGAUGAUCUCACUUUGAUCAGAUGUCCAAAUAAACUCACUUUCCGAGGU